rnacentral:misc_RNA from 1 species
AACGCACCUUGCACUCUCUGGUAUUCCGGAGAGUACGCCUGUUCGAGUGUCAUGUAACUCUCAAACAAAGGUAGCUUUGUUGCUAUCUUUGUUUGGAUAUAGACUCUGCUGCGUCAAUGCGGCUAGUCUUAAAUGUAUUAGCUGGUCCUUAAGGAGGAUUUGGUUCUACUCAGCGUGAUAAUUAUCUAACGUUGAGGACAGUUUCAGGACUGGCCAGAGCCAUCUUUGGAUUGCUUCUAAUUGAUUGUCCUUGGACAAUAAUUAUUCAACGUUUGACCUCGAAUCAGGUGGGAUUACCCGCUGAACUUAA